GGGUCAGUAGAGCGUAAUUGGUAUCGCACCGGACUGUAAAUCCGGUUCCUGACGGACGUUGUUGGUUCAAGUCCAACCUGGCCCACCA
rnacentral:tRNA from 1 species